GACGAACGCUGGCGGCGUGCUUAACACAUGCGAGUCGAACGGAAAGACCCUGCUUUUGUGGGGUGCUCGAGUGGCGAACGGGUGAGUAACACGUGAGUAACCUGCCCUUGACUUUGGGAUAACUUCAGGAAACUGGGGCUAAUACCGGAUAGGAGCUCCUGCUGCAUGGUGGGGGUUGGAAAGUUUCGGCGGUUGGGGAUGGACUCGCGGCUUAUCAGCUUGUUGGUGGGGUAGUGGCUUACCAAGGCUUUGACGGGUAGCCGGCCUGAGAGGGUGACCGGCCACAUUGGGACUGGGAUACGGCCCAGACUCCUACGGGAGGCAGCAGUGGGGAAUAUUGCACAAUGGGCGGAAGCCUGAUGCAGCAACGCCGCGUGCGGGAUGACGGCCUUCGGGUUGUAAACCGCUUUCGCCUGUGACGAAGCGUGAGUGACGGUAAUGGGUAAAGAAGCACCGGCUAACUACGUG
rnacentral:rRNA from 1 species